rnacentral:rRNA from 1 species
ACUCCUACGGGAGGCAGCAGUGGGAAUAUUGCACAAUGGGGGAAACCCUGAUGCAGCCAUGCCGCGUGUGUGAAGAAGGCCUUCGGGUUGUAAAGCACUUUCAGUAGGGAGGAAGGUAGUGUAGUUAACACCUGCACUAUUUGACGUUACCUACAGAAGAAGCACCGGCUAACUCCGUGCCAGCAGCCGCGGUAAUACGGAGGGUGCGAGCGUUAAUCGGAAUUACUGGGCGUAAAGCGCAUGCAGGCGGCCUGUUAAGUCAGAUGUGAAAGCCCGGGGCUUAACCUCGGAAUUGCAUUUGAAACUGGCAGGCUAGAGUCUUGUAGAGGGGGUAGAAUUUCAGGUGUAGCGGUGAAAUGCGUAGAGAUCUGAAGGAAUACCAGUGGCGAAGGCGGCCCCCUGGACAAAGACUGACGCUCAGAUGCGAAAGCGUGGGGAGC